rnacentral:rRNA from 1 species
GAUGAACGCUGGCGGCGUGCCUAACACAUGCAAGUCGAGCGAAGCAUAUAACAUGAAGUUUUCGGACGGAAUGUUAUCUGACUGAGCGGCGGACGGGUGAGUAACGCGUGGGUAACCUGCCUUAUACAGGGGGAUAACAGUUAGAAAUGACUGCUAAUACCGCAUAAGCGCACAGUACCGCAUGGUAGUGUGUGAAAAACUCCGGUGGUAUAAGAUGGACCCGCGUCUGAUUAGCCAGUUGGCGGGGUAACGGCCCACCAAAGCGACGAUCAGUAGCCGACCUGAGAGGGUGACCGGCCACAUUGGGACUGAGACACGGCCCAG